GAUGAACGCUAGCGGCAGGCUUAACACAUGCAAGUCGAGGGGUAUAGAAAGCUUGCUUUCUAGAGACCGGCAAACGGGUGCGGAACACGUACACAACCUACCUUUAUCAGGGGGAUAGCCUUCGGAAACGGAGAUUAAUACCCCAUAGGAUUAUGGAGUGGCAUCAUUUUAUAAUUAAAGAAUUUCGGAUAGAGAUGGGUGUUCGUAAGAUUAGCUAGUUGGUGAGGUAAAGGCUCAGCACGGAAACGACCUUUAGCUGAUGGGAGAGCAUGAUCAGCCACACGGGCACUGGGACACGGGCACGGCUCCUACGGGAGGCAGCAGUGAGGAAUAUUGGUCAAUGGACGGAAGUCUGAACCAGCCAUGCCGCGUGAAGGAUGGAGGCGUUCUGCGUUGUAAACUUCUUUUAUUUAGGAAAAAACCACUUUUUUUUAAGAGUAUUGACGGUAUUAAAUGAAUAAGCACCGGCUAACUCCGUGCCAGCAGCCGCCGUAACAC
rnacentral:rRNA from 1 species